AGAAAAGUAGUGAGAGAAUGUGAAUUGUGGCUGUUUUCAUUGAGAGAAAUUUGGCAUACAGGAAUUGAGACAAAGGCUAAUUUUGAAUUUCCUGUACGCCUCCUUUCCUUUCUUCAAACUUCUUGAAAUCUAAUUCCUCUUUAUAUUUAUUUUUCUUUGGUGUUUGAAAUUUAGGGAUUUGAGCUAUGUAAUUUCUUGGUCUCCAUCAAGAGAUGGAUUAAUGAAACAAAAGAAACUAGUAACUGAUGGAAUUGAUGUUUGUAUUACUAUUUUCUUUUUAAUUUUUAAUUUUUUUUUAAUCCUGUGGUUUUUGUCUAUCCUGUUUCAGGUUGUGUUGACUCUUGACAGUCCAUUGAUAUCAUGCGACAAAUUCGGACAAAAUGGAGGAAGAGGAGUGAUAAUCUCACACUAAUCAAAAUUAAUAAUUAAUUUUGCGUCUAAAAAUGAAUAUUAGGAUUUUCUUUAGGCCUAUUUAAUUAGGCCCAUGUCAGCCCAUUUGGCACUAUUACUUGGCCCAAAAUAAUAUUCAAAAGGGCCUUUGUUCUAUAAUAUAAUAAGGGCAAAACAAGCCAUACAUUUUUAUUUUUUGACUUUGAACGACGCGUGUGAAGCACGAACUAAUAAAGCGAGUAGCUGUAGGGCUAGCCUGAAUCCAGAAGUAAAUCGUCAUUCUCCUUAAAAU
rnacentral:lncRNA from 1 species